UUUAAAGUAUGUGGACCGGAAAUAAACCCUAAUUAGAAUUCUAGUCGUAAUGGGACGGCUCAAUUAUUUCCUAUAUAUAAAAGCUAGGUCCCCUCUCCUCUCCAUAUAUUUUAUUGGCUUGCCCCAUUGAUAGCUAUUACUUUGUGAGGAGCAAGGAGGGGAAGAUCUUGGCUGCUAUUACAACAAUUAUUCAUAUCAACAAUGACUUCCGCAGGUAUAAAUUCGAUUUAUCAAUUUAUUAUUAUGUGAUUCUUGUUCUUAGCAUGAUUAUAAAUAAAUAUUAACAGU
rnacentral:lncRNA from 1 species